rnacentral:rRNA from 1 species
UACGGGGGGAGCAAGCGUUGUUCGGAUUUACUGGGCGUAAAGGGCGCGUAGGCGGCUUUGCAAGUGGCGGGUGAAAUCCCUCGGCUUAACCGAGGAACUGCCUGCCAGACUGUGAGGCUUGAGACCGGGAGAGGUGAGUGGAACUGCGAGUGUAGAGGUGAAAUUCGUAGAUAUUCGCAAGAACACCAGUGGCGAAGGCGGCUCACUGGCCCGAUACUGACGCUGAGGUGCGAAAGCGUGGGGAGCAAACAGG